AAUUAGAAAGACAACAUUUGAUAACGAAUUUAAUAAUAUUUCAGGUACUUCAUCACGUGCUAAAGGUAACAAUAAACCCGAGGAAACAAAAGACAACCCGAUGAAAGAUGUCAUUCUCAAUGGUAAUCCAUCGGAGUCAAAAUCAAAGGAUAACAAUGGACAACCGACAAAUCUAAUGGCUAAUGUUUUAUUAAACGGCACAUCGUCUUCGGAUAAUGAAAAAGGUGACGAUAACCCCAAGGAAGUAAAAGAAAACCCGAUGAAAGAUGUUAUUCUCAAUGAUACUCCAGCUGAGGAAAAAUCGACGGAAAACAAAACUGGACAACCCAGUAAUCCACUGGGUAACCUUAUUUUAAAUGGUACUUCGACCAAUGGCAGUAAUAACCAAAAACCUGAGGAAGCCAAAGAUGGUUCAAAAUCCAAGUCUGACAAUGAAAACUGUAACGAUGAAAAACCUAAAGAUAAUCCACUAAAAGAUGACAUUCUUAAUGAUACUAACAAAACUCAAGAAGAUCGGACAAGCUCUGGUGCCAAAGAAGAAUCUAAUCAACAUCAGUCAGAGUCAUCACUAGAAAAUAGGGAUGAAGCAAAUUCAGCAACAAACGAAGGUUCAUCACAGGAGUCAAACUCUUCAAAUAAAAAAGAAAAAGUUUCUUCAGAACAGUCGAGCUCUUCAGAAGAUCACGAUUCUUCUCAAAAAUCGGAAGACUGCUAGGCAUCUAAAAGCUCUGAUCUCUAACAACUUUUUUUGUUUAUGAAUUUGGAUAGAUACUAACAAAACUCAAGAAGAUCGGACAAGCUCUGGUGCCAAAGAAGAAUCUAAUCAACAUCAGUCAGAGUCAUCACUAGAAAAUAGGGAUGAAGCAAAUUCAGCAUCAAACGAAGGUUCAUCACAGGAGUC